rnacentral:rRNA from 1 species
GGGUUGUCAUGCCAAUGGCAUUGCCCGGUAGCUAAGUGCGGAAAAGAUAAGCGCUGAAAGCAUCUAAGCGCGAAACUUGCCUCAAGAUGAGUCUUCCCUGGGCCUUUAAGGCCCCUGAAGGAACGUUUAAGACUAAGACGUUGAUAGGCUGGGUGUGUAAGUGCAGCGAUGCAUUGAGCUAACCAGUACUAAUGAUCCGUGAGGCUUAACCUU